GAACAAGCACUUCUUAGGUGAUUCGCUACCAUUUUUAAUACAGCGGAAGAAGAAUUGAAAAAAUUAAACGAUAAAAAUAAUUACGUUUUUUCUCACAAUGAUGACGAGGAGGAAUGUAUCGACCUUUCUGAUGACGAUGAUAUUGGCCAUGGAUAUUUAAUUACCAGUUCAUAUAUUAGUUUCAUUUUAUUAUCGGAAAAAUCUGGAACAUCUGCCAUAGGGAAAACUUUUUCCCUGAACCAAAUAACAAACGCCAAACUUAAUCAAUUCUUAGGAGUGCCAAAGCUCGAGAAUAACAGUCGAGAAGCUCAAGCAGACUUAAUAAUUAAAUUAUUGCAAGAGUGGAAUAUCGAGGACAAAAUUUAAUGUAUAUGUUUCGAUACUAAUAUACAUAGAGAAACACAGGGCGAAUGAAUGUAGCCUGUCAUCGUAUUUAGCGUAUUUGAACUACUUAUCAAUGAUGAGGAGAAAUGUCUACCAUUUUCCAUGGAACAAUUGGAAAUUCAAAAAAAGUUCAGUCAUUUCCUUUCUGAUUAUAAAGAAUUUCUGGAACUUCUAAUAAUUUUUUUUUGGGGUCGGAACCUCGUGAAGGAAUUUCUUUAAAGGUGCCUGGAGCUGUUCAUGAUGCAGGAUAAAUGGGAAAAGUCUUGUACUGGCUUAGAAUUUAUAUGCUUAUAGGUCAGUUUCAUCUUACUCGAAAAGAGGAAGUUUGGAAUGCAAAACAUUUUUAAUUUUUACCAUCGUAAUUGACCAAAACGCGUAGUUUAAAACGGAAACACCUACAGAAGCUCCACGCACCGAUAUCGAAAUUUUGCCAAGCCUUAAAAAUUGUACAAUGGUAAAACUUACAAUUCUAGAAGUCGUUCUAAAAAACUUGUAGGACGUCUUUGAUACUUAAGCGAAGAGUUACUUGGACUAGCUUUUUUGAUGGAAAUGUUUCGUUGGAGAGAAAAAGUUAAAAGGUACGUGCGAGCAAAGAACUUCGUUCUACUGGUGAAUCAUUGAAACGCAGAAAAAUUGGGAACGAAGAAAUUGAAUUUUUGACAUUUGAUAAAAAGGUCACAACUUAUACCAUCUCAGUUUUCGAGAAAUUUCACGUUUCAGCUCAUUUGUUAAAUUAUGAUCCAGAAACGUGGAAAGAAAGAGAAGAUUUCAAGCAGGGUCUAGAGACUGUAAAGGCUCUGUCAGUUACAAAUGACAGCGCAUAACGUGGACUAGCGUUAAUAAAUGAAUACAAUUCACUUCUUAUUAAAUGCGAAGGUCAUAAGAACACUUAUUCGAAGUAGUAAAAAACUCCGAACUUUUUCCUGGUUGCGAUAAAAAAUCCUGAAAACAGUCCUUCGUAGAAUUUAUAUUUCGAC